UUCAUCAGAGAUGGCAAUUUCAUAGUAUUGGGUUGAUUUUAAAGAAGCUUCUUCACACUGGAAAUUCAUUAAAGAUACGGCGAGAGGGUGUGCGUCUCUUUCUUUUGUGGCUGCAAGCACUUCAAAAUAACUGUAGUAAAGAACAAUUAUGGAUGUUUUCUUGCUUGAUUCCUGGAUUUUCAUCGCCACAGUCUGAAUAUGGCCCCCGAACACUAGAUAAUCUCAUUAACCCUCCACUUAAUGUUCAAGAAACUCAAGUGACUAUAGAGGAAAUCACUCCACUUGUUCCUCCACAAUCAGGGGAUAAAGGACAAGAAGAUUUAACGAGCUAUUUCUUAGAAGCACU